GAAUAUUGGACAAUGGGCGAAAGCCUGAUCCAGCCAUGCCGCGUGAGUGAAGAAGGCCUUAGGGUUGUAAAGCUCUUUCACCUGCGAAGAUGAUGACGGUAGCAGGAGAAGAAGCCCCGGCUAACUCCGUGCCAGCAGCCGCGGUAAUACGGAGGGGGCUAGCGUUGUUCGGAAUUACUGGGCGUAAAGGGCGCGUAGGCGGUAUGUCAAGUCAGGGGUGAAAGGCCUGGGCUCAACCCAGGAAUUGCCUUUGAAACUGGCAAACUAGAGUCCGAAAGAGGAUGGCGGAAUUCCCAGUGUAGAGGUGAAAUUCGUAGAUAUUGGGAAGAACACCGGUGGCGAAGGCGGCCAUCUGGAUCGGCACUGACGCUGAGGCGCGAAAGCGUGGGGAGCAAACAGGA
rnacentral:rRNA from 1 species